UGCAUAAGCGAAUAUCAUAUUUUGAAAUUUUUAAAAUUUGAAAGAUUACACCGAUGAUGUUUUGUUAAAUUUAAGUGAACCAGUGUACAGGUUUAAUGUUGGAUUAAAAUGUAUUUUCAUUUCACAUUCCUAUGUAGCCGAACUUCCUGAGAGAAGUAUUCUACUUUAAAGCAAACAGCAAAUCAAGCAAACCGUCUGAAAAAAGGAGGAAAUAGAAGUGUUUGAAAUUCAUUGUUAUCGGACUCGUUGGUUGGAUAUACGGCGAAUAAAUUCAUAGAUCUCUCGUGUCCCGGCGAACAAAGGCAAAUUUCCAACAUUUUUUUACGUUUUUUAUUAUUCUGCGGAAUGGUAUUCUGCAAGGUGGUA